AGGCUUAAGGUUUGGGGUUUGCAUUAAUAGGUUGAUGGACAAGUGGACACACUGUAGCUGUUACACCCCAUGGCUCCUUAGCUGUUUCCAUGUCUGCUGAGAGUUAGGAUGAGUCAGCCUAUUUGGCAAACGCCAACCAUUGGCUUCAACACUCUUCUUCAGAAACCAAUGUUUGAUGCCAGUGAGACUAGGCUCAUGUGUUAUAUAGGCCAUGUUUUCUGCCAGCUGAAGAUAUUUGAUCAAAAAUAAGUAUUUAAAACAAACAAAAUGAUUAUGUUGCUGACAUAUGGCCUGGAAAACAUGCAUUUCUACCACUGCUAAAGAGGCCUGUUGUUACCAGUUAGACGGGGGAGGGAGAUGGAAAUUUAUACUUGUCAGGUCAUGGAAGGGAAAUUCCUAUUUUCCUACACCCUCACUUCCUUAUGGUUCACAGCUCAUCAGUACAGCUAAAGGAAAGAGCAGGUAAAGGUUCAACUGUGAGGGUUUUGUGUUUGAAGUUUAAGGACCUCACCGCCACACUGACACUUAAAGUCAAAGUGUACAUUUUGUCAAGGGGAAGAUGGUAACAAGGUUUUAUGAGUUUGGGUACAACACAGUCAGCUCUAAAGUGGAAGUUCACAUUGUAUUUGAUUUCAUAUUUUGACUCAAAAAGAAACCAGGUUUCAAAUUUAGUCAGUCCCCCGUGACUUUGCUAUUUUACACCCACAUGUAAAAAAAGGGGUUUUUACAGAUUUAUGAAAUACCGUUGAGUUUCAUUUGUUCAUUCCACUCGAGCUAAAUCACGGAAAACUUCACAUAAAAAGUAAACAACCUCCUGACAGGGCCGGUAUGCAAAGACAUUCAUGCAGACAAACAGAGGUACACACCUGCUCUGAAGGUGUGUGCGUGACAGGCUUUGCGUGAGUAGAAACUAACAACCUUCACAGUCAUUACACCUGCUUUUAUGUCCAAGAAUUCUCUAAGAGGUACAUGGCUGUGGGCAAAACAUUUCUCAGCCUUUUUUUCCUUCCUCUCCAGCUCUGUGAAAUGGACAAACUAACCUCACACACUUUCACCCCGAGCUCUACAACCUGACACGACCUGCCUCUGCUCCCACUGUGGUCAGCUGUUACAGUAGCUCUGCUCUUCCCUUCCUCUAGUAGCCAGUAAGCUCUUUAAUCUUUUUAAGAAGUUAGGAGACUCUCCCCGCUGACUCACAUCCAGGCUCUUGCAUCUGUCCUCCUGUGCUCCCCCAGUUUUCCCCUGACUGCUCUUUUUUUUCCCCUCCAGGAGCAGCUGCUUGUCAGGUUUGAUAUCUAGAAAGCGAGCCUGCCUGUUGAGAGCUAAAAAGUGUCUAAAAUGGGACUCUGAAGGUUGAGGCAGAACAGUUCUCCAUCCAGCUGUGUGACAUUUCAAGUUUUUUGUCGCCAGCUGUGGGUGCUGCUCACCUGUUAUGAUCUGACACACACACUCCAGCAGCCUGAGCGCUCUCACCUCAGGCAGUCCACAGGCACAGUCAGACGCUUACCUUUAAUCAGAUUCAGUUUCAUCUGAGGGGAACACCAUCACACUUACAACUGAAGCACGGAUCAUAUUCACUUUGAUCGCUGGAUAAUACACACAGUAACAGGAGAGGCUUUGAGAAAACGCUCAGGAGUUUAAAGUAACUGCGAUUCAUGAAACAAGACAAGUUCUUCUCCUGUUGUGGUUUUAUAAUUGGAACUGAGCUCUUUAGUGUUACUUUAUUAUGUUUUUUCUUUUCCCGUCAGUGCAAACAAACCUUAAAACCAGAGCAAUGUUAGUUACAGCUACAUAGGCAGUGAUGUUUUUCAGGUACUAUGGGAUGUUAUUGGCUGUUUCUUCUCUCUUUCACAGGUAUUUCUGUGGUUAUACACACUCGUUUUCGUUCUUGGAUCCUGUAAAGUAUCAAAUUUCAAUCCCAUGUGAGCUUACUAUUAUUGUCUUAUAAUGGGAGAUGCAUAACUUUCCCUGUUUGCAAAUCAAUUAAUCUGCUUAAAUCGAGCAUCCUAUCCCUGACACUUGCCCAAAUUCUCCCUGGCUUCACUCUCAGACCCGCUGCGUGACAGGGAGGGCGCCCAGUUCACCUUGUGUUAUAAGUUCCACUUUUCAUAACUUGUUUUGUCCGUUCUGUGGGUUCUCGCCUGUGUGGCACAGCCCCACUGUGUUGCAUGACUGCGAUGAAUGAAGCCUGAGUGGCAGAUUGCAUGACUCCAAAGCCCCAAGAUCCUCGCAUUUACAGAAGCUAUAGCGCGCAAAUAUGUGCACCUUCGUGCCCAGCAGGGGAAAAAAAGAGAGUCUCGCGUCCUCCGCUCUUUGUUCUGGGAGUUUAAGACCCUUGUGUCUUUUCCAGAGGCUGCUGCCUUCGCGUGACUUGACCAAGCAGAUUUAGGAUUGUCCAGAAGACCGAGACCCUCCCCUCUGGACGCCAGCUUCGCUUCUCACGCAACUUGCAGCACCAGAGGCGCAGCCUCGAGGCGCACGGUGAGAGUCCCCGGAGAGUCAACACUCAGCCCCGGAGCAGCAAUACGGCGCUGGGCCGGGCGGAUGUCUCAACAGGCAGAAGUAUCGGCCGGACUUUUUCUGAACUCCUGACCACACAUGACUGCUCCUGGGUCGCAUUCCAAUAUGGCUUUAGUGAGGAAUCUAAACUUUGUUAUUUCCAAACACAAACAGGUCACAUCAUGCGUGAGUUUAUAGUAGACCAGUGCCGGUAACUUCAACCCUGACGUGCAGUUAUGCACGCCAGUGGUUUUUAUGGCCAAGAAAAUAAAUCUUGAAUUCACUUUGAAAUCAUUUGUUGACAUGAUUUCAUGUCUGAUCCUUAUUCAUCCAUGAUCCCCCCCAAAAAGGAAAAAACGACCGAGUGUUGGCGCCAUAGUAGAUGUUAUAAAUACAUGUGACAGCCUUCAAUAAAUGUUAUUAAAAGUUAA